AAUAAGUACAGCCAUAAGUUUUCACGCCCAAUUUUGAUCGUCCGUUUUAUUUGAAAUUUUUUUAUAAUUAGCAUUUUUAUUGUUAUAAGAUGAUAAAACAUGACUUAUGUUUUUAAUUUUUUUUAAAAAAAAAUUAAAUAAGACGAAUGGUUAAAGUUGGGCGCUGAAAAUCAUGGCUAUACUUAUU
rnacentral:pre_miRNA from 1 species